UACGUAGGGGGCAAGCGUUGUCCGGAUUUAUUGGGCGUAAAGAGCGUGUAGGCGGUUCGGUAGGUCCGUUGUGAAAACUCGAGGCUCAACCUCGAGACGCCGAUGGAAACCCCCGAACUAGAGUCCGGAAGAGGAGAGUGGAAUUCCCGGUGUUGCGGUGAAAUGCGCAGAUAUCGGGAAGAACACCCGUGGCGAAAGCGGCUCACUGGACCAUUACUGACGCUGAGGCUCGAAAGCUAGGGGAGCAAACAGG
rnacentral:rRNA from 1 species